AAUAGAUACCCGGGUAGUCCACGCCGUAAACGAUGUCGACUUGGAGGUUGUUCCCUUGAGGAGUGGCUUCCGGAGCUAACGCGUUAAGUCGACCGCCUGGGGAGUACGCCGCAAGGUUAAAACUCAAAUGAAUUGACGGGGGCCCGCACAAGCGGUGGAGCAUGUGGUUUAAUUCGAUGCAACGCGAAGAACCUUACCUACUCUUGACAUCCACGGAACUUUUCAGAGAUGAAUUGGUGCCUUCGGGAACCGUGAGACAGGUGCUGCAUGGCUGUCGUCAGCUCGUGUUGUGAAAUGUUGGGUUAAGUCCCGCAACGAGCGCAACCCUUAUCCUUUGUUGCCAGCGGUUAGGCCGGGAACUCAAAGGAGACUGCCAGUGAUAAACUGGAGGAAGGUGGGGAUGACGUCAAGUCAUCAUGGCCCUUACGAGUAGGGCUACACACGUGCUACAAUGGCGCAUACAAAGAGAAGCGACCUCGCGAGAGCAAGCGGACCUCAUAAAGUGCGUCGUAGUCCGGAUUGGAGUCUGCAACUCGACU
rnacentral:rRNA from 1 species